GGGGUUAUAGCUCAGUGGCAGAGUGUGUGCCUAGCAUGCAUGAAGUCUUGGGUUCAAUCCCCAGUACCUUCA
rnacentral:tRNA from 1 species